GGAGAGGUGGCCGAGUGGUUUAAGGCACACGCCUGGAAAGUGUGCGUACAGUUCUAACUGUACCGCGGGUUCGAAUCCCGCCUUCUCCGCCA
rnacentral:tRNA from 2 species